rnacentral:rRNA from 1 species
GACGCUGGCGGUAGGCUUAACACAUGCAAGUCGAGCGGUAACAGACAUUUUGAUUUUGCUUGCAAAAUCUCGUGCUGACGAGCGGCGGACGGGUGAGUAACGCGUAGGAAUCUACCUAGUAGAAGGGGAUAGCCCGAGGAAACUCGGAUUAAUACCGUAUACGUCCUUAGGGAGAAAGAGGGCUGAGCUUGAUGCUCUCGCUAUUAGAUGAGCCUGCGUAAGAUUAGCUUGUUGGUGAGGUAAAGGCUCACCAAGGCUACGAUCUUUAGCUGGUCUGAGAGGACGAUCAGCCACAUUGGGACUGAGACACGGCCCAGACUCCUACGGGAGGCAGCAGUGGGGAAUAUUGGACAAUGGGCGCAAGCCUGAUCCAGCCAUACCGCGUGUGUGAAGAAGGCUUUCGGGUUGUAAAGCACUUUAAGUGAGGAAGAAAAGAUACCAGUUAAUACCUGUUAUCCGUGACAUUACUCACAGAAUAAGGACCGGCUAAUUCCGUGCCAGCAGCCGCGGUAAUACGGAAGGUCCAAGCGUUAAUCGGAAUUACUGGGCGUAAAGCGCGCGUAGGUGGUUUAUCAAGUUGGUUGUGAAAGCCCCGGGCUUAACCUGGGAACUGCAGCCAAAACUGAUUCACUAGAGUACGAAAGAGGAAAGUAGAAUUCACAGUGUAGCGGUGGAAUGCGUAGAUAUUGUGAAGAAUACCAAUUGCGAAGGCAGCUUUCUGGUUCUGUACUGACACUAAGGUGCGAAAGCGUGGGGAGCGAACAGGAUUAGAUACCCUGGUAGUCCACGCCGUAAACGAUGACAACCAGCUGUUGGGAAGCAACGCUUUUCAGUGGCGCAGCUAACGCAUUAAGUUGUCCGCCU